rnacentral:lncRNA from 10 species
CGCGCCGCUGACUCCUGCGCGGGAGAACAGAUCCCCCCCGGGAUCCCUGGAGUCAGCCUACCUGCGGCCGGCUUCAGAUCCUCCCGUCAGCGACAGAGCUGGGCCGGCGACGCGCGCGGAGCCCCGGACAGCCAGUGAACAACCCCGACCGCAUGCGCCCGGCAGUCUUUCACGGAGGCGGGCUCUAGGCUGUGCGCACGCAGAGCGGUCUCCUGGAGUUCUGGGCGUCGCCUUCCAUCCGAUGGUCUUUCACUGUGGGCUCCUGGCGGUGAUGCGCCAGCGCAUCUCUGCCUCCGGGCGAGGGACGGCGGCAGCGCCACCCUGGCCUCCAAGACGGAAGUGCGGAGGGUCGCGCGGCGUUGGCUCCUCGUCGGCCUCCCUCCUCCCCACACCUGCCCCGAAGGCGGCUGCUUUGGAUGGACUAGGAUCCCGAAAAGUACGGUUUCAUCUAGCUAUCGCUCCCUGAGCACCGACUGUGCCACGCACUGUGCUGGGCACCGAGGGACCCUCUCCUCGGACUAACGAUGUAGGGAGGCACACUGAGCAGCUCAUUACACUUUAUGGUUGUUAUGGGUGCUUGCUGCAGAGAUGCUGGUGCCGGGGCAGUGAGUGCCCAGCGCGGGGACUGACCCAAGUCCGGUGGUGAUUGGGAAUUCAGGCGGGAAGCCCGCCCUGAAAAAGUAACUUUGAAGCAGAGACCUAAGUAGACGGCAAAGAUGGGAAAGGGAGAGGCGGGGAUAAGAAAGUGAGACAUGCUUGAGCCCAACAGUUCGAGACCAACUUGGGUAACAUAGCGAGACCCCGUUUCUUAUAAAAAUAAUAAUAGUAGGCCGGGCGCAGUGGCUCACACCUGUAAUCCCAACAUUUUGGGAGGCCGAGGCAGGCGGAUCACAAGGUCAGGAGUUCAAGACCAGCCUCGCCAAUAUGGUGAAACCCCGUCUCUACUAAAAAUACAAAAAUUAGCUGGGCGUGGUGGUGGGUGCCUGUAGUCCCAGCUACUCAGGAGGCUGAGGCAGGAGAAUAGCUUGAACCUGGGAGGUGGAGGUUGCAGUGAGCCAAGAUUGCACCACUGCAUUCCAGCCUGGGCGACAGAGCGAGACUCCUUCUCAAAGAAUAAAUAAAUAAAAUAAAAAUAGUAAUAAUAAUUUUUUUUUAAAAGUGAGGCAGAAGGAAAAGCCUGUGUACAAGCCCAAAGAGGCCGGCACAGCUGAAUUGGAAGGCCAGUCUAGCCAAGUCCACAAGGGCCACAGGAAGCGAGAUUAACAUGAGAUUAGGUUGAAGAGUUGGGUAGGGCCAUACGGUGAAGAGCAUUAUAGACCAAGUAAAGGCUUCUCUUUCUCCUAGGGAUAGUGGAAAGCUGUAGAAACUUUUGAGAGGCUUUUGACCUUCCUUUGAAUAGUGAAUAUAUGUACAUGGUUAUAAUUUUUCCCCAAACACUACACAAGGG